rnacentral:rRNA from 1 species
GAACUUAAGCAUAUCAAUAAGCGGAGGAAAAGAAACCAACAGGGAUUGCCUCAGUAACGGCGAGUGAAGCGGCAACAGCUCAAAUUUGAAAUCUGGGUCUUUCAGGCUCCGAGUUGUAAUUUGUAGAAGAUGCUUCGGGUGUGGCUCCGGUCUAAGUUCCUUGGAACAGGACGUCAUAGAGGGUGAGAAUCCCGUACGUGACUGGUUGCCUUCGCCCAUGUGAAGCUCUUUCGACGAGUCGAGUUGUUUGGGAAUGCAGCUCAAAAUGGGUGGUAAAUUUCAUCUAAAGCUAAAUAUUGGCCAGAGACCGAUAGCGCACAAGUAGAGUGAUCGAAAGAUGAAAAGCACUUUGGAAAGAGAGUUAAACAGUACGUGAAAUUGUUGAAAGGGAAGCGCUUGCAACCAGACUUGCACGCUGCUGAUCAUCCGGGGUUCUCCCCGGUGCACUCGGUGGUGUUCAGGCCAGCAUCGGUUUGGGUGGUUGGAUAAAGGCCUUGGGAAUGUAGCUUCUUUCGGGGAGUGUUAUAGCCCUCGGUGCAAUGCAGCCUACCCGGACCGAGGACCGCGCUUCGGCUAGGAUGCUGGCGUAAUGGUUGUAAGCGACCCGUCUUGAAACACGGACCAAGGAGUCUAACAUCUAUGCGAGUGUUUGGGUGUCAAACCCAUACGCGUAAUGAAAGUGAACGGAGGUGAGAACCCUUAAGGGUGCAUCAUCGACCGAUCCUGAUGUCUUCGGAUGGAUUUGAGUAAGAGCAUAGCUGUUGGGACCCGAAA